GGCUGCUGCAGGCACAGAUCCAGGAGCUGCGACGCAGGCUCCUGCAAAAGGACUCGUACAAAUGCCACAUUUGCCUGGACUCGUACUCCGUGCCGUUGACUUCGAUUCAGUGUUGGCACAUCCAUUGUGAGCAGUGCUGGCUCCGGACCCUGGGCUCCAAGAAACUCUGUCCGCAGUGUAACGCCAUCACGUCCCCCGCCGACCUGCGGCGCGUGUACCUCUGAGCGCAGGCCGGCUUCCCGGCUCCGGCGGCAUCCUCCAGCACAACGGGCCCCGCAUCCCGCCCCCGGCGCAGACUGCACCCGAACUGGGAGCCUGCCCAGCUGCUAACCAGAGGCCCUGCUGGCGGGCUCCGUGCUUGGCCGUGGCAGCCCUUGGCGAGGGCUGGGCGCAGGGGCUGUCUCGUGGCCCGUGUCCCCUUCUGCCCCCGCUUGUCUUGUCUGUGUUUUGGUCAUUA